rnacentral:tRNA from 1 species
GAGAGUAUAGUUCAGUGGUAGAGUGUAUGCUUAGCACACAUGCGGUCCUGGGUUCAAUCCCCGGUACCUCCA